GUCAUCGCGCUUGGUUGAAAAGCCAGUGGCGCGAAGCUACCGUGCACUGGAUUAUGACUGAACACCUCUAAGUCAGAAUCCGGGCUAGAAGCGACGCAUGCGCCCGCCGUCCGCUUGCCGACCCAUAGUAGGGGCCUUUGGCCCCCAAGGGCACGUGUCGUUGGCUAAGUCAUCGUGGCGGAAGAGCCGCGGUGGCCGCCUUGAAGUACAAUUUCCAUCGAGCGGCGGGUAGAAUCCUUUGCAGACGACUNCAAAUACGCGACGGGGUAUUUUAAAUGGAAGAGUGGACUUGCUGCCACGAUCCACUGAGAUUCUGCCCUUUGUCGCUCCGAUUCGU
rnacentral:ncRNA from 1 species